rnacentral:lncRNA from 1 species
GCACCUCACGGCAAAGACAUCUUCUUUGCCGUCUCACGUCGUCCCAGCUCACGGCAAAGACCCUGUGAACAACUAAAGAAAACCUCCACACUCUCCCGAGAGAAUAAAAAAGGAAGUAAAUAAACAAAAGGAAAACUUCCACCUGGUUGCGUCGAAGACGCUCUCCCCGCAGCCACAUCUCCUCUACCCCCUCCCGCGACCUAGGGUUAGCCGCCGCCGAUGAUGACUCUAUCGGUGAGCUCCGGCAGCCAUGGCCUGCGCACGGGACGUUGUCGAGCUCACGUAGACAUGCUGCGUUGAUCCCUCCGCCCAUAUCCGUCCAUCCCUUCCUACAAUGCUCGUGCCCAAUCCACUCCCCGUGGUUAGGGUUUGGGGUGCGACCUCGUCUCCGCCACCUGCGUGCCUCUGGCGAGCUCCGGCGGCCAUGGCCAGUGCGCAGGACGCCGCCGAGGUCACCUCGUCGUGCUGUGUUGAUCCAUCUGAGCAGAUCCAUCCUUCCAUGCCUCCAACGCUCAUGCCCAAUCCACCCGCAGUUAGGGUUUGGGGCACGGCCUCGUCUCCGGCACCGGUGGUCUUCUACGUCGCUUGAUUUGGGAUGAAAAUUUCAUUUUUCCAUCGUACAAUUUAUGAUCUGAAUGGUUUGUUUUUAGGGGCAUCAGGUUGGUCUAUUCCGUGACCAGACAAAAUGAGUAGAAGGGGAUGAGGAUGGAGUAGAAGGUGUAAAAGGACGAGAAAGACAAGAAACAGGCAAGGGAGGUGGGGCGAUCUGCAUGCCUAUGGAGAUCUAAAUGUUUCUUGUUUAAUCAUUUUUUAUGUUGCGUGCUCUCUGAUUUUAGAGUAGAUUGCUUUACAGCAUGUUGGAUAGAUUUGGGCAUGUUCAUUUUUCUAUGGUGACUUGGGUUUUACCAGAGAAAAGAGGAAGGCUUUCUUAGAGAGCAAAUCUAUGGUGCAACCGUCGUCCAGGUCCAUCAAAUCAGCACCAACUUGGGUCUGUCAUCUCUCUCUCUGCUCAUCCUAUGUUGUGGUACAAAAGAAGUUCAGACUCUAACACUUGUAGUACCAGGUGUGAAGGUGCACCUCAUGUUUAGCUAAAAAUAGUUAAGUGUGCAAUAUGCAUUAUUAGUGGAGGUAAAGCAUUGCCGACCAUGUGCAAUUACACAACUAUGAAUUCUCCUCUAGACACGUGAUUGAAAAUCUACCAGCAUAGUAUAUUGUUCCAUGUCAAUCGGUAUAUGUCAUAGUCCACAUUAUUCACUUCAGUGCUGCAUGGUCAUGCACAAACAUACAUAAUAUAUUUGUGUAUAUGAACUGAACUUGUGCUUAGGUACAAAUUCAAAAAUCAACACUUGUGGUAGCACGAGGUCUGAAGGUGCAGCUCAUGUUUUUUUCUUAAAUAGUCAAGUGUGUGAUAUGUUAUUAGGUAUGCGCAAAACGUCUUUUAAUAGUGUAAAGAGGGUGUAUAUGUUAUAUUACCAGUAGGUCAAUGUUUUGCUCCCCCUCCCCUGUUUUGUUCGAUUUGGUAGCCCUGAUGCAUAAACGAUCAUGGCUUGGCUCCCUGAUGCACUUUCUGAUGUGCGCAGGUGGCGGUGCAGGACACAGCCACCUUGUGAUUCUUCUUCCACUCCGAUGAAUCCAGUCGUUCUUCAUCCUCUCCGGCAUAGCUGGUAAGCAACCAGUUGCCCCUCUACUCUGCUUCGCUCAUGCUAACGCUCGUGCUCUGCGGGUGUCCACGACCAUGGAGCCCUAUUGCUAGAGAAAUUAUGUGGUGGCCAUGGUGAUUUCUAGUGUUUAUGAUGAAGAGUGCAUGGUGUCAUAUUUUUUGAGCUCAUUCAAGUAGGAGCAGAGAUUACUAAUUUUGUCAUUUAGAUUUCUCGUUUAGUGAUGCCAAGUAUUGAAUGGGUAUUGGAUUUACAUGUAGCAGGGACAAAUAUUUUUUUCCAGAUAAUUAUUGUUUGAGCAUGUUUACUUGGACCGCUUAAUUUUAUCUUGAUUGAUAAAACAUCACAUGUUUCUUUUGCAAGAUAUAAACAUGUCUUAAUUGUUGAGCUUGUAGGUUGUUAUAUAAUACCUAUUGCUGUCUUUGCUAGAUAUGAGUGAGAUGUACCAAAUGCUCCAGGUCGAGUCUUGGGUAUGCUAUUAAUGGUGAUGGUUCUUAGUAGAAAAGUACUCAUCACGAUGGAACUACUAUCUUGUGUGUCUGUCCCUUCAAAAUAUAAAACCCCAAUGAGGCCCCACAAAUAGUCAAGUUAUAAAUGAUUUCAUGUUUUUCUUUAGUGUAAUCCUAUACAGAAUUAAUAUUAAAUUUGUGGUAAUCGAGCUUACCAAGGAGGUGUCUUACUUGUGAGAGUUCAGUUGACACUAAUAUUUAUGUUAGAAACUACUCCCUCUAGUGAUCUAAACGUCCUUAUAUUUCUUUACAAAGGGAGUACUAUUUUUGAUCCUGUAGCAGUAAGGAUUAGUUUCCCAGCCAAUUUGGCUUGUGAUUAUUAGUGAGAAACUGACUUGGUUCUUUCCAUAUUAUUAAAGGAGAGCAUAUCUACAGAAGAGAAAAAACAUGAUGGAAAUCAUGGUCAUUACAGGCCCAUAGAACUUGUUACGCUCCAGGGGCACCAAGAGUUGGUUGUGCAAAGCUUGUUUUCGGGUUUGUUCAUUUUUCUAAGAAAGUGUUCCGCUUUUAUCUUUACAUCAGAUAAAAAUUGGUGACUUGCUUUCUAAGAAAGCGUUCCUUUUACUAUUCAUUUCAUCACAGAUUUGGUAGCACUUUUAGGUUGGUGCCGUUGAACAAGCUAUUAAAUUUAUCCUAUACUGUAAGCAAAAAAAGUGAACUCUUUUUUAUACUGCUGUUUCUCAUGGUCCGCAAUGAAUGUUCCCGUCGCUUCUUUGCCAUGUUAUCUCAUGCGUAGGACUUGAGCAUCUGGAAGAGUGAACUUGUUUACAAACAUGAUAUGUAGUGCAUCAUCUCUUUAUGCAAUAUUUUACUAUUUCCUUGAUAUUCAAUGACACGGUUGUACCGAAGCCGUACAAAUCAAUGUGAAUGAGUUGUGUUAUAUAUUCCAGUCUGUACAUAUUUGAAUGUGCUUUUGAUGGGCGCACACAUGUGCUAAUUUUGUUUUUAAAUUCCUUACGUUACUUGUGUAUCUUCUCUUUAAUUGCAUCUCAUUUUUACAUUACAUUUAGUAGGAGGUGUUGCAUACUCUAUUUGUAGGAGACCGAAGAAAAUGGUUCAUCUUGUUGCACAACCCAUCAGAUAAAAGUAUACAAGAAAUGAAUGUACCACUCAGAGGUGUUUUUUUCUCUACUCCUAUCAAUUUAUAAAUAGAAAUCUCUAUGCUUUCCAAGUGUUGUAAUCUGCUAUGUUUAUUUAUCAUGAGUUGAAAAGCUAUAAUAUCAAUCUAGGAUUGUCACAACUCAGGAGAUUCUAUUUUUAUGUGUUGCUCAACAAUGAUUUUAUUUAAUUGUAAGGUGUGCAUUUCAUAGCAAAUAAUCUCUUUCUUCUACAAACUAGUUGCAUUCCGUAUCUCGGAACAUGUAAAUGUGCGUGAAAAGUGGAGUAGAAUUUUAUGUUGGCAAACAUAUACAGUCAAUUUAUUGCUUUCAAGUCAAUACGGUUUACCUUCAGUAUGUGUAGUACCACUAUCUAUCUUUUCCUUACAAUGUUUGGAAGGAAAUAUCAGGUGAAGUGUUUACAUGUACAUAUUGGUGCAUAAAAACCUAUCAGUACAAUACGGAUUUCAGUUAUCAAUUCAACACAUGCGUUCACAUGCAGUUUAUGUAGAUAAAUAUAUAUACCUUGCAGUUUUAGCAUGUGCAUGCCAUUCAACUAACUUGCUCUUGUCCAUGCGGAUGGAGACAUGGAGUAGGAGGACGAGCAGCUGCUGUAAAUAAGCCUGAUGAUGGAGGGGGGUGGGAGGAAAUGGUAAUGAUGCUUAUGACAUGACCACAACCUAGACUUGUUGGCAUUUAGAUGUGGCAAAUAGAGGCGGC